CCUGAACGCUGGCGGCGUGGCUAAGACAUGCAAGUCGUACGGGUGUAGCAAUACAUCAGUGGCGAACGGGUGAGUAAUGUAUCGCUAACGUGCCCCUAUGUCCGGGAUAGCCGUCCGAAAGGACGGGUAAUACCGGGUAAGACCACAGUCCCGCAUGGGACGGUGCUCAAAGGGAAACCGCAAAGGGAGCGGGCGAUAUCGUAUCAGCUAGUUGGUGAGGUAACGGCUCACCAAGGCGACGACGCGUAGCCGGGCUGAGAGGUCGGCCGG
rnacentral:rRNA from 1 species